UACGGAGGGUGCAAGCAUUAAUCGGAUUUAUUGGGCGUAAAGGGCGCGUAGGCGGAAAGAUAAGUCAGUUGUGAAAUCCCGAGGCUCAACCUCGGAACAGCAAUUGAAACUAUCAUUCUAGAGGAUAGAUGGAGAAAACGGAAUUCCACAAGUAGCGGUGAAAUGCGUAGAUAUGUGGAAGGACACCGGUGGCGAAGGCGGUUUUCUAAUUUAGACCUGACGCUGAGGCGCGAAAGCAAGGGGAUCAAACAGG
rnacentral:rRNA from 1 species